rnacentral:lncRNA from 1 species
UCGGAUUUGGAUUAGAGUAGUGUGUACUUGUCGUUGAUCUGUGAUUGGAAGCAUAGUAAUUGAGUUAAUGAUCGACCGUUUUUAUUCUGUUUUUGAUUCCGUUUUUAUGUUUCUGUCCGUAUUUCAGUUUUAUAUUUCUGUUUGCAUUUGUCUUUUGAUUUAAUUCAUCCGCAUUCACAAACCUUUUCACAAACCCCCCCACUUCGUGUUAGACCUGAUUCUCGAACCACAGUUUGGUCCUUGAGAGACGACCUAGGAGUCAUUCCCUAGCUGUACUGCAUUUCUCAUAUGCAAUCAAAUUUGUAUGGACCGCGACACCCAUCAGUCUUACCACUUAUUAUUACUUGAUACGAUUCGGUGCACUUCCCGGAGUCCUAAAAAGCGGCAGUAAGUAAACGUCUACUAAAGACUAAACGAUACCUUAAUAGAGAUGUUAUUAUCGUUCAAACAAUGAUUUUC